UACGUAGGGUGCAAGCGUUAAUCGGAAUUACUGGGCGUAAAGCGUGCGCAGGCGGUUUUGUAAGUUUGUCGUGAAAUCCCCGGGCUCAACCUGGGAAUGGCAGUGGAUACUGGCAAGCUAGAGUGCGGUAGAGGGUAGUGGAAUUCCCGGGUGUAGCGGUGAAAUGCGUAGAGAUCGGGAGGAACACCAGUGGCGAAGGCGGCUACCUGGACCAGCACUGACACUCAGGCACGAAAGCGUGGGGAGCAAACAGG
rnacentral:rRNA from 1 species